UAAGUGUAAAACAAAGCAAAUAAAUGGAAGAUUUGGUCAGUGCCUGUAGGAUUAAAGUGACCCUACAAAACACUGACCAGGUGUUCUGCAUUAUAGCCAAUCCAGCUCCACACAAAGCGCCCACGCUGUCACAGUGGUGAGAGAGCCUGUGGCUAUCACAACCCUGUUUCAACAAGUUAAAAAGUCCAAACACUGCCACCCUUAGUUUGGUAAGCUAGCCUUACUGAGGACUUGUUCUGAGAGCAAAGGGAGUUCUGACCCAGUGUUUGGUGUUUCCAAAGACAAAAAGCAGGUCAGAGCAGGAACUGUUGCUCUGACCUGCUGGAAGAUGGUAAACUGGUGCUAUAGAGGUUUGCACAUGGUUACUAGAAAGACUCAUAUAGGCCGUGGUAUUUAAAGCAUGACUGUCCUGUAUUAACCAAACAAUCAACGUUACUCCAUCACAAGCCAGACGGGAUCCACAGAGUCAGUGCUGUUGAUGCCAAAUCUGCAGCGUGAGUACAGAUCGAUAUUCAUCUGUGCGGGAUACAUUUUCCAGCCUUCAGCUUUUGUCCAGUGGGAUUGGCUGCUGCUUCGUCCUCCAGGGGUUUUCAGACAACAGCCAGAUCCUCGGACCACUGUGUGGCUGCCAGGAGCAAAGAGCUCUAAUGAUCGCACACUGCCACUGAAGCAGAGCCAAGGACACAGAGGCCCAGAAAGAACUGCAAAAACCAGAGCGCUCAGGGGGGAUGGAGGAGGCGUCACAAUUUCUGUAUUAUUCAGAAGUACAUUGAGGGCUAUCUAUCUACCUGUCGUCCACGUCCAAACAGAUCAUGCGCAACUGUCACACAAGAAACCUUCUCAACACUGAAGUAAAAAGCCGGCAGACUGACUCCAGGUCAACCUUUGAACCCAAUGGCGAUUCGGCUGGGAACAAAACUGCGUUCCCAGACUGUUGUGACUGUUGUUCCCAGUCUAUUUCAGCUAGAUUGCCGAAAUAGCCUCUCUUUCAUCUGCCCAUCUAAGACUAGAUUUUGAACAACUUAGCACUGGGAAGAAUGACUACAUUCCCACCCAAAUCCAUGCUACAUACUUAAAAAAUGCAGUAUGCUCUCCAUAAUGAUUUGUACUCACUGGCAAAUGUUAGCCUUCUUUGUGUGCUAAUCAUUUUAAACAAACAUUGUAACAUGAGCUUAUAUAUACAAACAAUAACUCGUCAGUGUUGGCUGAAGUUCUGGCCAGAUUUUCCCAGGACUUCAGUGUUUAGGAGAAGAUUAUAAAAUAUUCAACUUCCAGAUGUUCCCAGAGAUCACCAUGACGAAGUUUGUCAGUGCCACCAUCAUACAUCAGACCUGUAUCCUACAUCAUACAAGUCUCAGUACCAUGCUGUAAACCUUCACUGUUCACUGCUAUCCUUCUGUCACAUAUCAUUCUUGACACUUGUCUCCACCCACUUCACCCUGCCUUCACUCUCUUCUGUUGCUCUGGAUGGCUGACCUCAGGGAUUUAAACUUAUCUGUCUCUUUGUACAUUCACCUUUAGACCCGUGUCCCUCUCAUUCACACACAUGUAUUCUUUCUUGCUUCUACCGACUUUCGUUCAUCUUCUCUCCAGAGAAUACCUCCACCUUUUGAAGCUCUCUUCCACCUGCUCUCUCCUCUCACUACAGAUCACAAUGCAAACAUCACAGACCACAGAGUCCUCAUCUGUCACCUUUACCAUCAGCACUGCAAACAAGACUGGAAACCCACCUGUCACUCCUACCGCACACCUCACCACUGUCUCGCUGUCUUCGUAGGUGUCCUUCACCAGUCUCACAUACUUCUCUGUCACUCCUGACUUCCUCAUGCAGCACUAUUGUUUCUCUCUUGGCAACCUAUCAUAUGCUUUCUCUAGAUCCACAAGACACAUUGAAGCUCCUCCUGACCUGAUCUGUACUUCUCCAUCAACAUUCUCAAAGCAAACAUCAAAUCUGUAGUGCGCUUUCUCUAUACUGCUGUUCGCUGAUGUCACCUCUCUUCUCAAUCCAGCUUCAACAACUCUUUUUAGCUUCCUGGUAUGGCUCAUCGGUUUUAUGUUUGAGGUCUCUCCUCUGCCACUACUAAAUACCUGCAACUCCACUGAAAAGCAGAAUCUUUAACCAUCCUGAAAACAAGAGAGCUUCACAAAUUACUCAUAACUAUUAAUUAUUCCCCAAACAGAGACAAGACAGCAGUAGAUCAGGGUUUUUUGUCAGACAGGCGCACCAUCAGACACAAUGAGACUCAAACUUGAUGGGACAUCUUUGUUGUACUGUCCAUCAUGGUGAUCUGCCAGUGGACUGCCCAUGGAUAUUUCCCAGGGAUCUGACCUUUUUGCGUACUGCGAAUGGUCAACUUGAAGCAACCAGGGGUGAACUGAUGGACCUCUCAGGUCUACACAUCACACACGACUGUCUCACUCCUGCACCUAUGUGCAUGUCUUGGCGAGGCACACACUGCGCACCUGCUUCUCUAUAGAUAAAAUUCAGUUGCCUGGUUAUAGGGGGCAGUCAGAAGAAGAGAGAAGACUCAGGGAUAUCGAGAUUAUUGCUCAUUCGGGUUUUCAGCCUUGAAUUCAAAUUCAGUAUUUGCAGUUAAUGAUUAUUUUAUCAAAUACAGAACCUGAAGGCGUAGCAACACUGAAUUGAACAUAUUUUAUUAAACCAUAAGUUACAGGCAUUAAAUAACUCAUCACACAGGAGUUUUCUUACAUCAUAAAUAAAGCAAUAAAAUGAUUUUGUGAACAUUA